GUCUAUAGCCAUACCACCCUGAAUGCGCCCAAUCUCUUCUGAUCUUGGAAGCUAAGCAGAGUCAGACUUGAUUAGUACUUAGAAGGUAGACUCAGGUUUGAAGUGAGGGCAUUUGCCU
rnacentral:rRNA from 1 species